AGCGAACGCUGGCGGCAGGCCUAACACAUGCAAGUCGAACGGACCCUUCGGGGUUAGUGGCGGGCGGGUGAGUAACACGUGGGAACGUGCCCUUUGGUUCGGAAUAAGCUCGGGAAACUGGGUCUAAUACCGAAUGUGCCCUACGGGGGAAAGAUUUAUCGCCAAAGGAGCGGCCCGCGUCUGAUUAGCUAGUUGGUGAGGUAAAGGCUCACCAAGGCUACGAUCAGUAGCUGGUCUGAGAGGAUGAUCAGCCACAUUGGGACUGAGACACGGCCCAAACUCCUACGGGAGGCAGCAGUGGGGAAUCUUGCGCAAUGGGCGAAAGCCUGACGCAGCCAUGCCGCGUGAAUGAUGAAGGUCAUAGGAUUGUAAAAUUCUUUCACCGGGGACGAUAAUGACGGUACCCGGAGAAGAAGCCCCGGCUAACUUCGUGCCAGCCGCCGCGGUAAAAC
rnacentral:rRNA from 1 species